rnacentral:rRNA from 1 species
CUGACAAGCGGCGGACGGGUGAGCAAUGUUUGGGAAUCUGCCUAUUAGUGGGGGACAACCCGGGGAAACUCGGGCUAAUACCGCAUGAUACCGAGAGGUCAAAGGGGGCUCGCAAGGGCUCUCGCCAUAGGAGGGGUCCGCGUCCGAUUAGCUAGUUGGUAGGGUAAUGGCCUACCAAGGCGACGAUCGGUAGCCGGCCUGAGAGGGUGAUCGGCCACACUGGAACUGAGACACGGUCCAG